rnacentral:rRNA from 1 species
AAGGGCGUACGGUGGAUGCCUUGGCAUGCUGAGCCGAUGAAGGACGUGUGAGGCUGCGUUAUGCCUCGGGGAGUUGCCAACUAAGCGUUGAUCCGAGGAUGUCCGAAUGGGGAAACCCAGCACCAGUUGUGUGGUGUUACCCGCAGGUGAAUUCAUAGCUUGUGUGGGGGUGUACGCGGGGAAGUGAAACAUCUCAGUACCCGCAGGAGAGGAAAAUAAUAAUGAUUCUGCUAGUAGCGGCGAGCGAACGUGGAUGAGGCUAAACCAUGUGCGUGUGAUACCUGGCAGGGGUUGCGUGUGUGGGGUUGUGGGAUGUGAUUGUUACCAGGGCUGUCGACUUGGUGCGUGUGUGUUGUGUGUUAGCGGAAGUCACUUGGGAUGGUGCGCCGUAGUGGGUGAGAGCCCCUGUACGUGAAAACAUGCAAUGUGUGCGUUGAUUGUGUCCCGAGUAGCAGCGGGCUCGUGGAAUCUGCUGUGAAUCUGCCGGGACCACCCGGUAAGCCUA